rnacentral:rRNA from 1 species
AACGAACGCUGGCGGCGUGCCUAACACAUGCAAGUCGAGCGUGAAAGUCCCUUCGGGGGCGAGUAAAGCGGCAGACGGGUGAGUAAUACAUAGGUAAUCUACCUUCGAGAUUGGGAUAACCCCGCGAAAGUGGGGCUAAUACCGGAUAAGACCACGUGACUUACGUUGCGCGGUAAAAGGUGGCUUUUUCUUCGGAUGAGGCUAUCACUUGAGGAUGAGCCUAUGGCCUAUCAGCUUGUUGGCGGGGUAAGAGCCCACCAAGGCUAUGACGGGUAGUUGGUCUGAGAGGACGACCAACCACACUGGAACUGAGACACGGUCCAGACUCCUACGGGAGGCAGCAGUGGGGAAUAUUGGGCAAUGGGCGAAGGCCUGACCCAGCGACGCCGCGUGGGUGAUGAAGGCCUUCGGGUUGUAAAGCCCUGUCAUGCGGAAAGAACAGUCUCAUGGCUAAUAUCCAUGAGAUUUGACGGUACCGCAGGAGGAAGCACCGGCUAACUCCGUGCCAGCCGCCGCAGUAA